rnacentral:tRNA from 1 species
CGCGGGGUGGAGCAGUUCGGUAGCUCGCUGGGCUCAUAACCCAGAGGUCGCAGGUUCAAAUCCUGCCCCCGCUACC